UACGAAGUGGGCGAGCGUUGUUCGGAAUUACUGGGCGUAAAGGGCGCGCAGGCGGCUCUGAAAGUCAGAUGUGAAAGCCCCGGGCUUAACCUGGGAAUUGCAUUUGAUACUCUGGAGCUUGAGUACGGGAGAGGAGAGUGGAAUUCCCAGUGUAGAGGUGAAAUUCGUAGAUAUUGGGAAGAACACCGGUGGCGAAGGCGGCUCUCUGGACCGUAACUGACGCUGAGGCGCGAAAGCGUGGGGAGCAAACAGG
rnacentral:rRNA from 1 species